GGGGGGGGGCCCAAGACAGCACCUCACUCUGGGGACGUGGCCGUGUGCUCUGGCCCCACAACGACAACGACAAAGCAGGUGUCUGCUCCUGUGGGCUCGCAGUCCAUGGGAGGGUGGACACAGACAAGGUAAAAACAGGAAGUGUCAGGAGUAUAACAAGAUGAGUUAAAGGGACCUCGCCAUGGACACCGAGAGGGGACAUGUGAAGGGCUUGCCAGGGUCUCUCCACAGAGGGGACAUCAGAGCCCGGCCCGAGGAGGCCAGGCUGCUGGGAGCCUCCAGGUGGCAGCUCUGGGUGAGAAACGAGCAGGAGGCAGCUGGGCGUCAGUCCAGCUCUCCCAUCCUACCCAGGAACUCCUGCCUUGCUUGGUCCACCCAAAGGGAGGGUGUAGACCCCACAGACCUCCAGGUCUCGCUCAGGGCUCAGAACUCAGCACAAUGGGGCUCCCUCACCUUCCCAAAGUACUUCUGGAAACGACGAGGAAGUGCUGGCAGUAGCUUAUUUUCUUGCUAGGGCCUCUGGGAAGUGCUGCUUCAGUCAACUCCUUUGGUUUCCUUCCUGCUUCAUUUCUUUGCCAUAUGAAUGCUGAUGCCCGACCCAUCUGCUCACGAGGCUCUGACUUCAUUACAGGACAGUCCUGGGCCUCAUCCUCUGCUGGCCCUGCCGAGCCCCCACCCUGCCCACGCCUUCCUCCUCCCCCGCUUCGCUAACCCUGACCCUGGCUGAGGGGGGACACAGAGAAGCAGCUGCCUCUGUGCUUUCCAGCAAGUACUGGACUCAGUCACUCUGCAGACAGACCCCCCCUUAGCUGUGUCCCAUUAGUUCUCUGAGAAGCAGAUCGUAAAAUCAGGCUACCAACCACAGGGAGCACCUCAGGCCCUGAUGGGGCUCUGACAACGACUUCUAGAAAUCUCUGACUUCUGUCUACAGACUUAGUCCAGAAAGAAAUCAUGAUAAUUGACUGUAUAGAAGUUGGACCAAAUAUACACCUGAAAAAAUAAGGCCUGUGGCAUCUCUGACCUUCAAAGAUCUGCUUCUCCUCCCGCCUUCUCACCCCUCCCCAGCACUCACCCAAGUAACUGAAAAGGGCACAGAAUCAAAGGCUGGCCACCAGCCUCUGCUCCCUGCCAGCCGUCCGGGCCCUGUGCACCAGGAUAACAACGGACUCUGUGUGGGUCUGUCCUGCUUCAGUCAUAAAGUAAAUCAUUUGUCCAAAACCACAUGCCUUGUUUUUCAAAAAUUAAUUCUUUUCUCUCCCUCCUUUCCUCCCUUUUUUUUUUUCCCACUGAAUUUUAAAACAUGGGAGUUCCUGUCGUGGCUCGGUUAAUGAAUCCGACUAGGAACCACGAGGUUGCGGGUUUGAUCCCUAGCAUUGCUCAGUGGGUUAAGGAUCUGGCGUUGCCAUGAGCUGUGGUGUAGGUCGCAGACACGGCUCGAGUUGCUGUGGCUCUGGCGUAGGCCGGCGGCUACAGCUCCGAUUACACCCCUAGCCUGGGAACCUCCAUAUGCCUUGGGAGUGGCCCUAGAAAAGGCAAAAAGACAAAACAAAAAACCGUGGACCCCCAUUUCACUCUCUCGCAGUUCAUUUCCUUUGACCACUUCCAAAGCUUAGGCUAAGAGUCCUGUAGAUUUUUCUAGCACUUGACCUGACACGCAGGCCAGCUCCUGCUUUGCGCACCAUCCACGUCACUGUCUUCCCUCGUCCCCAGAGUUGGGUUCGAACCCUCAGAGACAUGCUGGGCCGACCGGCUCCUCUCUUAGAGGAAAAGCCCUUCCUUCCUUUUGCAAACACAGCCUGGAAAGGAGACCCGCGCCCGCAGAGAGCUACCCGCGCCGGUCACAUUCCGUUCCCAGGCUGCUGAUGAGGUGGUCUGGGAGGCGUUCUGGCUGCGAGGGAUCGCAUUGCUCAACGGGGACCGAAGGAAUGCGGUUUCCGAAGGUUUCCAGCAAGUCCCUGGGAAUGUGCUCCGGAAAAGCCCGGAGCUGGAAGCGCUUCCCUCUGAGAGGCACUCCAACCACCUCGGGGGCCAAGGGCCGGCCCUCCCGACAUUAUCAUCACAAAGGGGAAACAGCAUCCCCGUGGACUUGCUGCCGCAAUUGGGGUGUUUAUAAGCCCCGCCCACUUGCAACCCAAACGCCUGCGGUUAAAAGGAACCCCCCCCAAAAAAGCCACCCCGCCAAAGCCGAUGGUUCUGCCCAGUCUCUCUGAGGGGUCAGGAAUAGCGAGUGUGUACAGGAUUUGAGGCACUUUGUAAAAAUUGGCCUCUUUCCNNNNNNNNNNNNNNNNNNNNNNNNNNNNNUCUUUCCCUCUGUAUGCAGUAUAUAUCCUCAACGUUUUAACAAAAUUUUCCCCUUUUGACCACAAGAUAGAGUUCCAGACGUGGGCAAAGCACUCCCGUAAUAAGAGCUCAGGGUUCGGGGGAACUUAAUACAAUAAUCGUGUGUUCAA
ensembl:lncRNA